GACGUAGGGCGCGAGCGUUGUCCGGAAUUACUGGGCGUAAAGAGCUCGUAGGUGGUUUGUCGCGUUGUUCGUGAAAAACUCACAGCUCAACUGUGGGCGUGCGGGCGAUACGGGCAGACUUGAGUACUGCAGGGGGAGACUGGAAUUCCUGGUGUAGCGGUGGAAUGCGCAGAUAUCAGGAGGAACACCGAUGGCGAAGGCAGAUCUCUGGGCCAUUACUGACGCUGAGGAGCGAAAAGCGUGGGGGAGCGAACAGG
rnacentral:rRNA from 1 species